UACGGAGGGGACUAGCGUUGUUCGGAAUUACUGGGCGUAAAGCGCACGUAGGCGGAUUUGUAAGUCAGGGGUGAAAUCCCGGGGCUCGACCUCGGAACUGCCUUUGAUACUGCAAAUCUCGAGUCCGGAAGAGGUGAGUGGAAUUCCUAGUGUAGAGGUGAAAUUCGUAGAUAUUAGGAAGAACACCAGUGGCGAAGGCGGCUCACUGGUCCGGUACUGACGCUGAGGUGCGAAAGCGUGGGGAGCAAACAGG
rnacentral:rRNA from 1 species